rnacentral:tRNA from 1 species
GGGGGGAUUGCUAAGUUGGUAGAGUGCUUGCCUUGCAUGCAUAAGGCCCUGGGUUCAAUCCCCAGCUCCA